ensembl:lncRNA
AUGCUGCCCUUCGAGAAACACUUCUGGUUCAUCAAAGACGGAUGUCAGAUUUUUGACAAUUUAAAGGUCAGCAAACUGCACUUGGCUCCAGGAUUCUGCAGCAGUAAUAGGGGACAUAAGAGAAUACACCUCCGCGUUGGCCCCACCAGACAACCUCCUGAUGUGGAGUCAUUGAGGAACAGAGAAAAAGGUGAAAUAAAUAUGUUCUACUUAAUCCAAAUAAAUGUAAAUAACAUUCAAGCGUAAGUUUUUGUUCCUUUUCCACUUCAUUUACUCUGAAGAGAAAUGAUGAAUAUUAAAUGUGUUUACUCUGUCUCUCCUCUGUUAGGAAAAGCCUGGCCAUAAUGGCACUGCCCAGAUUGGGUGGCAUUAUUAAUUCCACACACAAAAGCAAUCCAUCAAUGUUCUACCAAUCUCUAGAAGCUGCGAUCCGGAGAGUGUUAAUUGUGAGACACGCAGGGGAAGGACGGGAAAUGGAUUCAACAAUGCUGUAUUGGUUUUGACACAGUACGUUUUUAUUCCUCGGAUCACUAGGGGAAAUGAUACAGUUGUUAAUGAUCCAAUUAAUCAUCGUCUAAUCAUUGCAAACCAAUGGAAUGUAGCUUUUGAAUGUGAAAUGAACGUUUAUCGGAUUAUAAUUGCAACCAACUGUUAAUGCUUCCGUCAGGUUAGUUCAGCAAGUAUGCACUUGUUGUGAAAUGUGUCUUAAAGUUUACCCCAAAAUGAAGGUUCUGUCAUGAUUUACUUACUCUCAUCAAUUCCAUAUAACAUACAGCUGAAGCUCCAAAAUAAAGCACUGUAUUUCAUCAGCUUGACAGAGAUGGUCACUAUGAACUACUAUUUGUAAGAAAACAUACCUUCUGAAAACAUAAUAAUAAUAAUAACAACAACAACAUGGGUUUUGAGAAACACGAGUAAAUAUAUUUGUAAAUCAUAAGUUAAUACUUGAAGAAUGCUUUGGUGAAUUAUUGCUUUAAAAGAAUGUUAAUAGCUGGAGCGUCUUUCUUACUUUCAGGAUGAUUGUUCUCUGUAAGCUUUUCAUUUUUCAUUUUAUUUAUUUAUUUAUUUAUUUUUUAUCCUGAACAGAUCAAUAGAAUCUCCUCAGGUAGGCUUCAAACAUGUGUGCCUAUAAGCAGAAAUGUGCAAGGCAUGCACUAGCACACAGAUAAACUGAUUAACAAGGAUAGAAGCUUUCGAAGAUUUUCAGAAGCUUUAUAGGUCAAGACAUGUUGUCAACACUUGAAAGGCCAAAGUGCAUUUUCUCUCCCAGGCUCAACAGUGAAAAUGUGCAACUGUAAAACUGUACAAACACUACACAACAACUAAAUACUGCACCAUCAUCAUUGUCAUCACCUGUUACAAGAAGCAUAUUGGUAGACUAACCUUUAAUCAGGGUUGUGCACCAUUCAGAAUUGAAUUAAGAGUGCCUUUUAAAUUCCUAUUCAGUUCCUGAUUUUGAAUUGAGGUAUACACAGGAUGCAAUUUUAAUUUUAGUAUGCUGCAAAAAAUAUGAUUUUCUUGCUUAGUAUUUUUGUCCUGUUUUCUAGUAUAAAUAUCUACAAAUUCUUGAAUUAAGAUACAUUUACUUGACAAGUAAAAUGACUAAGAUAUUGUCUUUUCUGAAAAUAAUUAAUUCAAAGGCUAAACGAUUAUUUUUCUUUACCCUAUUGGCGGAUUUAUUACUUGUUUUAAGCAAAAACUAACAAAAUUUGGAUUUUAUUUUAUUCAUUUAUUUUUUGAAAACAAGGCAUAAUAUCUUAAGUCAUUUUACUUGUCAAGUAAAUGCAUCUUAACUCAAGAAUUUGUAGAUAUUUAUACUAGAAAACAACAAAAAUGCUUAAAUCGAAUUCAAAUAAAUGCAUGUAAUUUGUAACUAGAAGAGAAAAUCUAAUUAAGACAAACUUGUUUGAAUGUUUUAAAAAAUUUGGCAAUGUAGAUGUAUUCAGUUUGCUCAUUUAUAAUCUGGCUCUGAAGAACUGUACACUGAGUCAGAAAUUGUCAUCUUACUCUUCUUUACCUAUGUUUUAUAAUCAUUAUCCUUAUUAUUUAUACAUGAUAAGACUUAGACGCC